AGUCUGCAACCCGACUCCACGAAGCUGGAUUCGCUAGUAAUCGCGCAUCAGCCACGGCGCGGUGAAUACGUUCCCGGGUCUUGUACACACCGCCCGUCACACCAUGGGAGUCGGAUAUGCCCGAAGUCAGUGACCCAACCAUAUGGGAGGGAGCUGCCGAAGGUGGAGCCGAUAACUGGGGUGAAGUCGUAACAAGGUAGC
rnacentral:rRNA from 1 species